GUGGCCCGGCUCUGCCCGGCAACCGAAGUCGGCGCGGGCGGCCGGGGGACACUGGGACUGCCCGCGGGGCGCCCCCUGCCCGCCCUGCGCGCCGGCCCCUCCGUGAGGUGGGCUCGGGGGCCGCGGUUCCUGGGUAGGGCCCCUGCGCUGCCGCGCCCCGGGAACUUGGUGGCAAUGCCAGCUCUCGGCCCCAGUCCGACUCGCUGAAUCAAACUCCAGCUGUCUGCGAACAAGCCCGGGUGAUUCUGGGUCGAGCGCAAGUCUCAGAGCAGCAGGUCUAGGGGACAGCGGGGAGGGGUCGCCGGUGAUGUGAGGAGCGGGGGUGUGGCCAGAGGGCGCUCCGCCUCCUAGGAGCAAGAGUACAGUAAGCAGCUCAGACCCCCGACCGCGAAGGGCGCUUGGACAGUGUCCCCAGCGUCCGGCCAGCUUCCAGAUGCGGAGACCGAGGCUGCGAGGAGCAGAGAACCUGGCCGACGUCACGAUCCGGACUCAGCUGGUUCUCCCGACCCACCCGCCCUCCACCCCCUGAGGAAUCCAAGAUCCCAUUGCAGGAAAGGCUUGUCUACACUCGCUGGCCGGCUCCCUCUGCUCCAGUUCACCCUUCCGCCCGGGACAAGGAGACUGCAUUUGCGCAGGCCGCCCAUGACCUUCAUUUCUGAGUCCACAGCCUCUCUGGGUCUUACUGAUUCCGUGGCAUUUGAUCUGGGGCCCCAAUCUGCUGUUUGCAGGACCUCAGCUGGGCACCAGUCGCGCACCACAGACUCAGAGGUCUGCAGCCCCUCAUCCCUAGCACUCCUGCCAAACACAGUCGUCCCAUCGGCCACUCCCCACUGCCUCCCUGUUUUUCCCCACCCCACCCGGUUGGCAACCUCUGACCCGGACUCCAGUCCCAGCCAAGCCUUUACCGCUCACUCCUCAGCUCCACUCCUCUCCUCCCAUUCGCACACUUUCAUUCCACAGAUGCUUCCUGGCGUCUCCUCGGUGCCCGGCGCUGGAGUGACGCUGGGGAACCCAAUGGACACAUCCCUGUGGUCAUAGAACCAUAUUCUCCCCAGAGGUGGGCACACAGAAUCCUGUUGACGGCCUACCUCUCACCUCCUUAAAGUGCUGUGAACUCUCCCCUUAAAAAAACCUCUGCACCCUUCACCCCCCCCCCCAAUUUCUCCACUCCUCUACAGGAAACUCCUGCCAGGAGCUGUGCGCAGCCCCCGCUCCCCCUACUGUCACCAUCAACUCCUAUGUUUUAAAUACAAUGGCCAGUUUUCGGGCUUUGUCUUAA